rnacentral:rRNA from 1 species
AGUGAACGCUGGCGGUAGGCCUAACACAUGCCAGUCGAACGGCAGCACAGUAAGAGUUUGCUCUUACGGGUGGCGAGUGGCGGACGGGUGAGGCAUACAUCGGAAUCUUCUUUUUCGUGGGGGAUAACGUAGGGAAACUUACGCUAAUACCGCAUAUGAUCUACGGGUGAAAGCAGUGGAUCUUCGCACCUUGCGCGAUUGAAUGAGCCGAUGUCGGACUAGCUAGUUGGCGGGGUAAAGGCCCACCAAGGCGACGAUCCGUAGCUGGUCUGAGAGGGUGGUCGGCCACACUGGAACUGAGACACGGUCCAGACUCCUAAGGGAGGGAGCAGUGGGGAAUAUUGGGCAAUGGGCGCAAGCCUGAUCCAGCCAUACCGCGUGGGUGAAGAAGGCCUUCGGGUUGUAAAGCCCUGUUGUUGGGAAAGAAAAGCAGCAGGUUAAUACCCCGCUGUUCUGACGGUACCCAAAGAAUAAGCACCGGCUAACUUCGUG